UACGUAGGGUGCGAGCGUUAUUCGGAUUUACUGGGCGUAAAGCGUGCGCAGGCGGCCCGUUAAGACAGGUGUGAAAUCCCUGGGCUCAACCUAGGAAUUGCGCUUGUGACUGGCGGGCUCGAGUACGGUAGAGGGGGGUGGAAUUCCUGGUGUAGCAGUGAAAUGCGUAGAGAUCAGGAGGAACACCGAUGGCGAAGGCAGCCCCCUGGGCCUGUACUGACGCUCAUGCACGAAAGCGUGGGGAGCAAACAGG
rnacentral:rRNA from 1 species